rnacentral:rRNA from 1 species
UACGUAGGGUGCAAGCGUUGUCCGGAAUUAUUGGGCGUAAAGAGCUCGUAGGCGGUGUGUCGCGUCGGCCGUGAAAACCUGCAGCUUAACUGUGGGCUUGCGGUCGAUACGGGCAUCACUGGAGUUCGGCAGGGGAGACUGGAAUUCCUGGUGUAGCGGUGAAAUGCGUAGAUAUCUGGAGGAAUACCGGUGGCGAAGGCGGCAUCCUGGACCGGUAUUGACGCUGAGGCGCGAAAGCCAGGGGAGCAAACGGG